GGAGAGGUGCUCGAGUGGCUGAAGAGGCACGCCUGGAAAGCGUGUAUACCCCUAAAGGGUAUCGAGGGUUCGAAUCCCCCUCUCUCCG
rnacentral:tRNA from 1 species